rnacentral:rRNA from 1 species
GACGAACGCUGGCGGCGUGCUUAACACACGCAAGUCGAACGGAAAGGCCUGCUUUCCCUUGUGGAUUGCGGGUGCUCGAGUGGCGAACGGGUGAGUAACACGUGAGUGAUCUGCCCCCAACUUGGGUAUAAGCCUGGGAAACUGGGUCUAAUUCCCGAUAGGACUGCAGGGUGGUGCCUGUGGUGGAAAACGAUUUUCUAGUGGUUGGGGAUGAGCUCGCGGCCUAUCAGCUUGUUGGUGGGGUAAUGGCCUACCAAGGCGGCGACGGGUAGCCGGCCUGAGAGGGUGGACGGCCACAUUGGGACUGAGAUACGGCCCAGACUCCGACGGGAGGCAGCAGUGGGGAAUAUUGCACAAUGGGCGGAAGCCUGAUGCAGCGACGCCGCGUGGGGGAUGACGGCCUUCGGGUUGUAAACUCCUUUCGACCGCGAGGAAGCCACCUGGUUGGAAGGGUGGUGACGGUAGUGGGAGAAGAAGCACCGGCUAACUACGUG